UACGGAGGGGGCUAGCGUUAUUCGGAAUUACUGGGCGUAAAGCGCGCGUAGGCGGUUUUCCAAGUUGGAGGUGAAAUCCCGGAGCUUAACUCCGGAACUGCCUUCAAAACUGGAUGACUAGAGGUCGAGAGAGGUAAGGGGAAUUCCUAGUGUAGAGGUGAAAUUCGUAGAUAUUGGAAAGAACACCGGUGGCGAAGGCGGCGACCUGGUCCAUUACUGACGCUGAGGCGCGAAAGCGUGGGGAGCAAACAGG
rnacentral:rRNA from 1 species